UACGAAGGGGGCUAGCGUUGCUCGGAAUCACUGGGCGUAAAGCGCACGUAGGCGGCUUCUAAGUCAGGGGUGAAAUCCUGGAGCUCAACUCCAGAACUGCCUUUGAUACUGGAGAGCUAGAGUCCGGAAGAGGUGAGUGGAACUGCGAGUGUAGAGGUGAAAUUCGUAGAUAUUCGCAAGAACACCAGUGGCGAAGGCGGCUCACUGGUCCGGUACUGACGCUGAGGUGCGAAAGCGUGGGGAGCAAACAGG
rnacentral:rRNA from 1 species